rnacentral:tRNA from 1 species
GCCACCUUAGCUCAGAUGGUAGAGCGACGCACUCGUAACGCGUAGGUCGCGGGUUCGAUUCCCGCAGGUGGCUCCA